UUUUUCUUUUUCCAAUGUAAAAAAAAACAUUAAACACCGUGUCUUCUUCGAGUUCAAGGUAUCAGGCAUCAGGAUCGUCUCCUGCGUUUUGUGUUCAGCUGCCUCUCAUAUUGUGAAUCCAAUGGAUAGAAAAUGAUGAAAAACAAAUAAAUAAGUAAAAUUAAUUUUAAAGUAACAGGUAUCAGCUUCAUCUUCAUCUUCUUUUCAAGCUCUCAUAUUUGACUGCGACCGUGUCAUCUUGGAAUCCGAGCACACCGUCAAACUUAUACCGAUGCUUUUACUCACUUCAAUGUUUGUUCUCCCUCUUCUUUACCUCAACCACUCAAUUGGGAUAUCCACUUCUAUGAUCAACUCCAGAACAAAAUCGGUGGCGGCAUACCCAAAAUGCAAUGGUUCUUUUCCACUUUCUUUUUAUUCUACCAUCUUUCCUUCUUACUGUUAUCUUAUGCUAUCUUAUGUUUGUCAUUGAGCUUUUCUUUUUUGCGAGAUUUUUAAGGGACUUUAAGGAACAAGGUUGGCCCAAAGGGCUUUAGGCCUCAAAAGUUUGUGCCUAAAAAAAACCUCAAAUUUUUUCAUUUAGUUAUAAAAAUAGAUAAUGACGUUUGAGUUACAUAUAUUAUUGUAGUUGAGUUAGUAAAAUUUAGGUCUCUUUUCUUUUAUAUCUUGGGUUCAACUCUUAGCAACCUCCAAAUUAUUAUUUUAAAAUAUAUUUUAAAGACCUCAUUUUAAAAUUUGCUUUAGGCCUUCAUAGGAGUUAGGUCGGCACUUGUUAAGGAACAUGGGUGACCUUCAUCAAAGUUGUCCAAACUCCUCCAACUAAAGACGAGGAACGAGCCAAGUUAAUUGACACUCUUCAGGUCUUUUAUGUUUUUCUUAUUUUCACUUUUCUGUCAAUUCUAGACUUUGUUCACUAUGCGCUCACACAGGAUAAGACUUGGAAGCUGCUAUCAAAACAUAAAUUGUAUAGUAAUUUAGUACCUAGGACUUAGGAACUUCACUAUUUUGUAACUAUGUUUUCCAUUGCUCAUAGGAUAGGACUUCGAUUGGAAAAUAUGCAGGUCAUUUAAUCUAAUUAACUUGCUUCUUCUUUCUGGUUUCUAUUUUAGAGGGGGAAAUUGAACUAUAGAUGUUCCUUGAUGCCCGACCCAUUUUUCCACCCCUAUCUAUUACUCCUCCAAACUUGAAAUUAGCAAUAUUACUCCUCCAAAAUUGAAAUUAGCAAUAGUAUACACAAGAUCAUAUAAUACUUACCAUGCAGCAACAUUUACCAUGUAAGCGAUUAUAUCAAAAGCCAUAGUAUACAAAAGGGGUGUCAUUCAUAGCAAGCUUUCAAGAGGUUUUUUUUUGUCCAAGUGAAGUAUGAGUUUUCCAACAACCACAACAUCUAAAACUCUUGUGUUUUACUAGUGACUCUGAACUAACAAAUUGAAAUCCAAAUCGAAAGAAAACGUAUACUUGCCAGAUUCUAGAAACUUGGCAAAAACAAGUUUUGGGUCAAGAACUGCGAAGAUGAAACACAAGCAAGAGGGACUUUAUAGGUACAAAAAUACUUGUUUUGAAAAAGGAUGCGAAUUAAGAUGGCAAAUGAGGUUGUGGAAUAAUUCAUGUUUUUGUUUACAGUUAUUAUUUGGAUUGUAUGCUAGUUUGGACUUUGAGCUCUUGCACUGUAACUACAUAAUUAUCAAUGAGCAUUAUCUCCUUAUAAAAUAAACAAUAAACUUUAUAUAUCUUCACUCUUCAGUCAAACUAUCUAUUUAAAAAUCUUGAGGACUAAUUUAAGUUAUAAGAUACAUACUUAAAGAGAUCCACAACAUAACAAACCAAUGUUCAAAUCUCGGUCGAAACAGACUGUCAUAUUUAAUGUCCGAAAUGUCUGGAAUAUAUCUGUGCUAUUGAUGGUAGAGGUUAGCGUUUGGUUUACAGGUAUAUUUUUCUCAUGUUAUCUAUACUCUAUAAACGUGCUCAUUUAAUCUCUUUAUAUUCUGUGAAAAAAGAAAAUGAAAAGAAAACUAACUAUCUUAGCCUGUGUUAGAAAAUUAGAGGUCAGGGAAAGUCUUGAUGUGUUCUCCCGAUUUUGUUAAGUGGUGAAAUACAUUCAUUAUCUAUGGUUUGAAGACAUAAUUUCUAGACUUUGAUGUUUGCUGCAUUGGACUUUAGAAAGAGAAAAAUAUAAUACUACUUCUUUGUCCCACAUUGGUUAGAAAUAAUAACAAGUAUUUAUGUUUUUGAUAUAAAAUAAGAGUUCAUUGACUAACCAAAUCAUACCUUUCUCGGCCUUUUGGCUAAGAUCAAGUGUAGUAUCUGUUCUUAUCAGUUUAAUAUCUGAUAUGUGAGCCAAUGGCUCACACGAUAUUAAAUCUAUUUCUUGAGGGGGAGAGUACAUCACAAUAGCUUGCUAUUAGGUCUCUCAAGUGUCGCUUCUGUGUUGCACUAUUGCAUUGGCCAGACGCACCCCACCAAUAAAGUCUAAAUAUAUUUUUUUGACUAUGUUUCUUAUUAUCUUUCAUAACUGUAUUUGAUUAUACUAUCUAACUAAAAAUCAUGCUCAAACUAUAAUGUAAAUUUAUAAACCCUACAGGCAGCAACAAAAGCAGGGAUGUCCUGUGUGGUUGGUUACCUACACAUCUCCACGGCUGAUCAGUUUGAAAGAUUUGGAGUUCACAAGGUUAAGAUCCUGUCUUCUUUUUUUUUUCCGUUCUUUUGUGUUUUGAUGUAUUCACUGUAUGCAGAUGUAUACAUGGAGAUAAUGUGUAUUCAAUUCAUUGCGAAGUGUAAUAAAAUUUAUAAUCUAUUUACAUUUUGAAUGCUUCCCUGAGAUUUUGUUUCACGGUUUAUCAGAUUGACUGUAUGAAAGUUGAGAUGUUUUUAUUUUAUCAGUUUUUUCAUAUGAUUUUUUCUUUCCUUAAGGUGCUUAAGAUUGAGCAUAAUCAGCAAUGAACUUUAUAAUUCUAUAGUCAAAUUAAGCUGCGAAAUACAUAUAUAGAGACUAACUUAUUCGAUUAAAUGUAUAUUCUUUUGAACUGGUGAUUAAAUAUAAUAUUUAAGAACAUCAAAUUUCAUUUUCAUCAACAAAGAACUAACAAGGCUAAUCUUUAUCCAAUUAAUCUAAAAAAGCUCUAAACUCAGUCAGGCUAAGUCAGCUAUCCUACACAACAUACUCUCAAUAAUUCACAGCAAUUCACACAUCAUGAGAAACCUCUGGAAUUCAUGCCAAUACAUAUUUACCCGUAUGAUAUAAAUGUCACCAACUGUUAUGAUUUUCCUUCGAGAUUGAAGAUGAAGGUUUUUUCACAACUUGUUCAUCAUGGAGCUUAUCAGAAUUCAUUGGUGAAUUUAAUGAAGCAAACCCUCAAAACCUUAGAUCAGGUUGUGCUAAUCCAGCUGGUGCGUGGAUCCUCCCAGUCUGACAUUUGAUGCUGGAUGCUUUGAUGGAGACAAAACAGCGUGGAGCCUGCUGGCCAUAAACUAUGAAGGUAAUGUCAAUUUUUCUGCUUCAAAACUGGAGCAUGUAGCAGUCUCACCUAGCUUGGCAAAGGUAAUGGCACUAAGAUGGGUUUAGAGUGGGCUAAAAGUCAAGGUAUGGCAAGUUUAUUGUUGAGUUAGAUGCUGAAGUUGUUGUGCACUGUCUUUGUAACAAAUUAAAGUUAAUUGAAUUAGAUCAUGUAGUUCUAGACUGUUUGGAUUUGUUGCCUCGAAUGAUUAAUACUAGUGUGGUUUACGUUAGGAGAAGUAAGAACGUUGUUGUGCAAGCCUUAGUUGGUGUAGCUAGUGAUAGGGUCUAGAAGUUGGAUUGGAAAUGUUCCAUCCUCAGUUUCUCUCAUUACUUGUAAGGAAUCUAAUUUCAUUCAAUGAAUUAGAAGCUAUUGUCAGAAACAAAUACUACGUUAUUUGAAACUUGUUAGGAUGUAGAAUAGUGGUUAAUUCAAGUAGUUAAGAGUUGUUAUAGAAGUUAGUUAGUUGGCUGGUUAGUUGAGGUUGUUAUAUGGCUAUUUGUAUAAAUAGGAGAAUGCAUAUAUAGAGUUGAGAAUCUGAUAGGUGAGGAAUUGUCGGAGCAUGGAGGAAAAUAACUGGCUUCACGAUGACAUAAUUGGUUCUGCUACUUCACGAUAAAGGUAUAUAAUUGUAAUAAGUAAUAACACAUUGCUGGAAACUUCUUAUAUUAGGUAUUCUCAAUAUAGACGCAGUUACUAAAAUUUUGUGAACUAUCAUACAGCUUGAGUGAUUUGGAAUUGCUACUUCACGAUAUUGUAGCUACAAAAUAGGAGAAUUGUUUAUGACUUGGAAAUGUUACUAUAUAAGUUGCCCUGAAUGUGUUUCUUUAAGGAAAACUGGUUGAAAGUUUGAGGUUUAUCACAAGGCGAAGAUCCUUUUGCUUUUACACGUUUUUCUAUGCAUUCAUUGACAGACGAUGUAUACAUUAGCUGUAUAUGUAGCCUCAUGAGGCAAUCUAUGCGCACUACAUUAGUUGCCUCCUAGAAAACUCUCCUGGAGUUUGAACCGAGCUAUGGAUUUUGCUCUCAGGUUGUUAAACCGGUCCACCACAAUCUUACUAGAAUCUUAUUCGAAUUUAAUACUAUCAGCAUUCAAAUCCAUCCUCAAAGAAAGCUGCAUCCACGUUACAAUUAGCUUACCUGUUGGGGAUUUUCUCCAUCCAAUCUGUCGAGAUCUAUCAAUUGCAGGUUUCCUGGGCAUGUUGUGGUUUCCUGCAAGCCACUGCUACAGAAAGACACUGUCCCUAUGACUUACCGCAGCGAUGUCCUUGGAUCCUUUUAAUAAAUGAAAAUUUUGACUAUGCCACCGGCUCCCCAGCAGAGAGCAACAGGCAUUGCACUGAAUAUGCGUCAAAGUUUCUGCAUUAAGAAAGAAUCACUGAAAUCUGCUGUAUUGGAAAUAUAAUUUAUUAGUUGGUGUUUGUUACUGAUUAGUUAGUGUCUAUAAUAGACUCGGGGUAGUCAAUUACUCAAUUGUUCUUAACUUUAUAAUUUGUAAUAUUUUAGUCUUAUAAAUACACUAGAGUUUAAAUCUUUCCUCUUUCUUCUUCCAUGGAUUCCAUGUUACAUAACAGACGCACACAUACUCUUCCUACUGCUCGCACCAACGACACGAUAAUGGACAUUGAACUUCUUUUCCUACUGCUCGCACCAACGACACGAUAAUGGACAUUGAACUUCUUUGUUUCUAAGUUGUGCUCUGAUAGGUAUUUAACUAAGCGAUUGCUCGAGUAAAUAAUUAUUAAACCACCUGUACAUUUUGGCAAAGGUUAAACCUAGACCAGGAGUUUUGAGAGUGAUUGCUGAGGCCAGAGAUGCUGUAAGAUAACAUUGUUUACCGGUAGUGGACAGUGUAUCGGAGAAAAACUGCUUGGUGGUAAAGGACAAUGUUAUUGGUUUACAGGUACAUCUUUUCAUGUGAUUGACCAAUUUCUUUAUAUGUUGUGCAGAAGGAAAAUAAGAAACAAAACUUAUCAGUUUAGCUUGUGUUAGAAAGGUAGAGGAUACGGAAUUGUUUUGAUUUGUUGUUUGAUGUAAUAGUAAUAGUUGGCUUAAAUAAAUGAAAUUUAAAUUUACAUAUCUUUAUUUUAUUUGUUGUCAAAUGUUUUUUUGUUAGCUGUUUUUUUCCGGAUGAUAUAGUACUUUUUGGAGAAUCGAAGGAGAAUUUAAAUUAAAGGUUGGAAGCUUGGAGACUAGUUUUAGAAACACAUGAUUUUCGCCGAAGCAGAAGUAAGACAGAGUAUAUGGAAUGUAAGUUCAACAAAAGAAGUGUUUCUAACCUAAAGGUGAAAGUUGGAGACCAUAAUAUCAUUUAAAAAUCUUGGGUCAAUGAUGGAGAAAUAGAAGGGGAUGUAAACCAUCGAAUUCAAGCUGGAUGGUUAAAAUGGAGAAAGACAUCAAGUGUCUUAUGUGAUGCAAAGGUAGGUACCGCUCAAGAUGAAGGAAAAAUUUAUCGGACUGUAGCAAGACUUGCGAUUUCGUAUGGGACAAAAUGUUGGACUGUCAAAAAUCAACACGAGAAUAAAGUAAGCGUAACAGAGGUGAGGAUGUUGCGGUGAAUGUGGGGUAAGAUUCGACAGGAUAAAAUUAACAAUGAAAUUAUUAGAGCUAAUAACUGUUGGGAAGAUAUAAUGCAAUGAUUUUAUAUCAGUUAUUCAUAAGGUAUUCAAUGUUAAGAAUGUUUUGUUUCUUUAAAAUCAUUAUAUAUUUGAGAUCUUAUAUAGAGUUGAAAAAACAAUACAAAAUGAUAUAAUUUUGGGUAGCAAUAUCACACUAGAGAUAAAAAAAUUCUUACGAGUUCUGUAUUUUCAAUUUUUGAAAAGAGUCUAUUAAAUCCUGAGAGAUUAGUAUAAUACGCGGAAAAUUUUUGAGGACAGUGCAUCCAACACGUCUCAUACUAUCUUAUCAGUUUUUUGUUUUGCAGGUCUUCAUAGCAAUAACAACAACAGUCGAUACCACCUAGUAAGACAAGACUUAGUUGUUGUUGAUCAAAUGUUUUUAAGUCAGAUCUCUCUUAAAUUUAUGUGAUAUAAGAAUGACGCAAUUUUAUUUUUUUUGAACUAUUUAAUCCCAAAUUUGAAGUUAUCACUAAGAUACGUUGCAUUCCUAUUUCAUGCUCCCAGCAACCAUCGUGGUAUUACACUCAUUUCUCCUUCUCUCACUAGCAACAAUUAUCAUGCUUGAUUUUGCUCCAUGCUUGUUGCUUUUGGAUCCAACGAUUCUCAGAAUAGUAACUGUGUAUGUUUCAUCGUACCUUAUUUGCAGUUAGAAAUUUGGUACUUAGCAGCUUCACUAUUUAGUUACCAUGUUUCCCCAAUUUUUCACAUAUUUAGACUUGGACUGGAAAUAUGCAUGUUGGUCAUUCCAUCUACUAAACUUGCUUCUCCUGGUUACUAUUUAUUUAGAGGGGAAAAUUGGAAAUGAUUUUCUUUGUCCUCUUCAGUCAUACAGUAUGAAUGAAGCUGACAUUUAUUAAGAUUGUAGUUUCCUUGUUUGGCUAAAAAUUUUGCAAAUUCAAGAUUGUGAUCUAGAGAUGUUUCUCAAUACUUUUCAAUUUAUUUUAAGUGGGUCAACCGAUUUUAAGUAUUUUGAUUAGAAUGGCCUAGCCUUAAGUGCCUACUAAGGGACAAAAUGUCAAGAGGCAUACUUGAGGAGUUACAAAUUGGAGAGUUAAUAGUGUUGUGAGAAACUAAACAAAAGCCAUUACUUGAGGACUGCGACUUAAGAUUUGAAAACUCAUCGAGACCAUCAGAUUCUACUGAACCUUCUAAUAAGACAACAUCAUUGGUAUGAGAUUUAAGGACUCAGUGAUCUGAGUCGGUGGUUCAGAUAAGAGACUAAUCCCUUAUAUCAGAAGUCUUCUUUAUAAAGUGGUGGUCUGGCGCCAUGUCCUAUUGAAGUGUCUGUAACAUAGUAAGGGUGUCAAUAACAAUACAAAUUUAUAUGGAUGAAAGAGAUUUCGCUUGAGGAGUAUUUUAUUUAUGUAAUAAUCUUCUAAUUCUCUGUAUAUCUUUUUGCUUUAUUUGCUUUGGAUUAUUUUAUGUGUUUGUUGUAUUUAUGAGCUUAGAGUCUAUUUUUAUUUAUCUUUUUUUUUUAAUCUUGUCAAAGAGGGAAAAGUAGUAAUGAGUCCAAUGUAUUGAUUUAUGUCGUUUGAUGCAAAUUUAGAACGUGAAAUGUUUCAAAGGGAGCAUAAAGGAAAGCCUUGAUCACACUUCACUUGAUGCUCAAGUUGAAUAAAUUUUAAUGCAAAUUUGUAAGUUGCAAAGCAUAAAAAAAAGGGACAUUGAAGUUGUUCUUCCUAAUAGAGAUUUGGUUAUGCUGCAUGUCCUGUUUAUCAGUUAUCGUUUUAUUAAUUGAGUUUUCUCUAAGUUAUUGAGUGCAAUGCAUUAAAUCAUGUCUGUGUGCAUUAAAUCUAACCCCUAAGUAAAAGUUGAUGCAAAGUGGUUCAAGUCAAGUUAGUAAAAUCAGAGUUUUCUUUGACUCGAACCAUUGAUUCGAAUCAAAUUGUCAAAUUAUGAAUUUUAAAUCCUUGAUUCAAAUCAUUUCCUGAUUUGACUCGAAUCAUACCCACUGCUUUUGACUCGAAUCAA